CACAAAUUGGCAUUUAAAAUUUUUCAAAAAAUAAAUUCCAAAAUACACAUUUAUACUAAUCAAUUAAUAGCAUCUGCAAUAGAUAAGCCUUCUACAAUAACUAAAAUUUGUAGAAAAGAACUAGCCAAUGUGAGGCUUAAUUGUAACAGAGAUCAAAAAUAAUGUACAAAAUUUCAUAUUAAAUGAAUAUAAGUAUUUGCUUGAUGAUCCAUGUGGCCACCCUCAUAGCACCCUUGAUCUUCAUGCAUCCAAGAAUAUAUGAAGCACUUUUCAUAAUCAUUAUACUGAAAUAAUGAAAUAACAUGAUCUCGUGAGAAACUUAUUUUGAAUUAUCAAAAUAUAUAUCGAUUUAGAUACAUGUACAGUUAGUAAUUAAAAAAAUUCAAUAAAUUAUGGAAUAAUAAAAUACUUAGCCAUGAAUCAAGUGAAAAAAUUCUAAACUUUUUUCUAACAUAGAAGACAAAAGAAAAUGCAUUUAAAUAAACAUCAUAAACUUAAGGAGAUGAAAGAAAGAGGUAAAGCUUACAGUUUGGCAUUAGAAGAGAUUGAAAUUUCUCAAAGACACAUUUCUCUUGAGCACCCUAUAAAUCAAAAACAAAUAAUUGAAGCAAAAACCCAAGUUAAUUAGGUGUAAGGAACAAAACCUAUCAGAUCUUCAACAUUGCACUCACCACUUAUAAAAAAAUAAGGCACACUAUCUAUCAAUUUGCUGGAAUAACUCGUAAAAUUGAACUUAAAAAUCCAAACCCAAGUAAGUGUAAGGAGAUUCAAAAAUCCUAGUAUAAAGAGACCCGAGCUUACUUGGGAAGAGACAAACCAAGUAAAUGAGAAGCAGUGGAGAUACAUUCUUACUCCUCUUUGUCUUUCUCACAGAUUUAAAUUAACGCCCACUAUUGUGGAUGAAACAAAUAAGAAAACGAAGAGAGAGAGUGGCUGCUAAGGAAGAUGAAAAAUUUAGGUUUUGGUUUG
rnacentral:lncRNA from 1 species